rnacentral:lncRNA from 1 species
GGUAAGGGAAAUGCUUUCUGGGGUGUAACUAACAAGGAUGUACUUUCAGUAACCUGAUGCAUCUCAUCUCGUCAGUCCUGUGUGCUGUAUCCACAUUUAUAUAUAUAUUUUUUCUAGCCUACGUAGUUGUCCAGCUUUUAACAAAUAACUAUGACAGUAUUUUAAACAUGCUAGCAUUUCAGGGGUAUUCUACUUUUAAAAAACAACUAGGAUCAGGUGGAGUCCUAGUUUUGGUACAGGGGCAUUGCCAGUCACAUGAGCUAAGGAAGCAAGUGGGCUGGCUGUUCCUCUGUCCUCAAGCCUUUCACAUGAGGACAGAUGGCCUGUUGCUGCAGCUGGGUGGACCAGGCUCCCCCGCAGCCUGCUCCCAAGGGAUGGCUGCUUCUGAGGACACACCUGGGACAUGGUUGAGUCAGUAGAACAGUUAGGACUCACUUAACUUUGGAUAAGGGCAUGCCUUUAUGGGAGCAGCAGCUGUAUGGCUGAGUGGCCACAUCCCUCACUUAGACUUUGCUUUCCUUUUACGCUAACUGUGUAGAAGCCGACUUUAGAUUAAAUGACUAUGAAGCACAAUGACAUUCUGUGGACUAAAAGGUUUUUUUGUAUUUUGGGUUUCCCCCCUCUUUCAUGUCCUCAGUAACUCAUACCUGGCUUUGAAUUAGGAUCGGCUAGGAGGGUUCUAGUCUGUGCAAACUCUAAUAAAAAUUAUUUUGAAUUCUAGGAUUUUAGAAUGGUUGACUUAAUUUAAAAUUGUCUUAAUUCCACUCUUAAUACUUCACUGUGAUGUUAACUUGGAAGACCUGCUGAAGAUUAGUCUUAAUUUUAGACCAUUAUAUCUGCUGAGCACAGGAUUCUUAUCAUUUGUAAAUCUAAAACCGUCUGUGAACGCACUUCUAUGCGUCUUCCUUUAUGAAAGCAUAACUUAAAACAUGAAAAUAAUGUUGGUUCUAGAAAUAUUUAUUGUUCAAGGUCUGUAAUUGUAUUUUAAAAUGAUGUAGUAUUCAACUUGUGAAGGGAUUUGUUUUGUCAAAAAAGUUAAAACCUCAAUGUGUAUCAGCCCACAGAAGGGCAGGGGUCUGCUUUGUGGCCACAGUCGGGUAAACCACAGUCACAGUUAUUGAGCCUUUCUGAUGGCCGCAUAGCUCCUGGCAGUGGGUUGGAAGACUUCUACUGGGUCAUGUGAUGUUUGGUAAUGCCAUCUUGCUUGAACUCCCUGUGAUAGACGAGACCACACUUCCUGUCCCUGAAGGAAUGUGUGUCUGAGGCAGGUAGGCACCUCGGCACGAUCACAUACCAAGUAGAGAGUGGAGAAAGUAUUUCAGACUCAAGAAAACUUUGGAAAGUCAGGAACUAAGCUGCUUGGAAAUCAGUGCCACAAGCAUGACCUUGGUGGACACAGGAAGCCACAGGAAAAUUCUUGACAGUCUGUGUCCCAUCAGUCACUGCAUUUUUCUUUUUCCAAAUACAUCCUGUUGGAUACUGAAUAGAUUAUAGAUGUUGUAGACUGAGGUCUGGGACUGUGUUGGGACCAUACAGGUGGUGAUAUGUCACUUCCACAAAUGGCAUCUCCAAGUAAGCUGUCACGUGGUGCACAUGGAGGUGGAGCCUGCCGCUGGAGUGAGGCGCACACUUGACUCUACUUGCAGGUGGUUUGCUGAGCAGAGAGCUGAGGGCCUCUGGGCCGGGUAGGGUGUGUCCAUUUGUGGGGGAGGAUGUGGUGAAAGUGGACCUUCCACAAUCUGUCAUGAACUGUGAUAUUGUAAGGUCUAUAUUCUGUAUGUGGAUAACAGACCCAAUCAGGAAACGAGCCUUAUGUGUGUCGCUAACAUUUAUAUUUCCAUUCGAAAUGUGUAUUCAGUGUUUAUUUCCUCAAACAGACUUUGUUAAUUUAGGAAAUAUCUCCAAGUGGAAACGUGCUAACUUUCUGUAAAUCUUAAAUAAAAGGUGCUGUUCCUUCCUCUGACCCAGGACUGGUUUGUGUUUUCUGUCUUUCUUUCCAUUCCUUUCUCUUUUUAUAGUUUUGAAAAUUGUUUUAUCCACACUGAGGGAAGAAGUGGGUUGGUGGAUGGAGCAUGGGCUCUCUUCCAUGGAUGAUGUGCUAAACACCCUUUGGGUCUCAGUUCCUCCAUUAGUCAGAUGGGUCAUCCUUGUGGGGCUAUGGGAGCUGCUCUCUGAGCCAGGGCAAGCUUUGUGGCCACUGCUUCCUGAGGCCCUGGGCUUCCCUAGUACUUUCUCCUGUCUCAUCUCAGAAGUACUCAGACCCCACCUGUGACCCUCAUAUCU